UACAGAGGGUGCGAGCGUUGUUCGGAAUUAUUGGGCGUAAAGGGCGCGUAGGCGGUGCGGUAAGUCACCUGUGAAAUCUCCUGGCUCAACUGGGAGCUUGCAGGCGAGACUGCCGUGCUGGAGUGUGGGAGAGGUGCGUGGAAUUCCUGGUGUAGCGGUGAAAUGCGUAGAUAUCAGGAGGAACACCUGUGGCGAAAGCGGCUCACUGGACCACAACUGACGCUGAGGCGCGAAAGCUAGGGGAGCAAACAGG
rnacentral:rRNA from 1 species